UACGUAGGGUGCAAGCGUUGUCCGGAAUUAUUGGGCGUAAAGAGCUCGUAGGCGGUCUGUCGCGUCGGAUGUGAAAAUCCAGGGCUCAACCCUGGACCUGCAUUCGAUACGGGCAGACUAGAGUUCGGCAGGGGAGACUGGAAUUCCUGGUGUAGCGGUGAAAUGCGCAGAUAUCAGGAGGAACACCGGUGGCGAAGGCGGGUCUCUGGGCCGAUACUGACGCUUAGGAGCGAAAGCGUGGGGAGCGAACAGG
rnacentral:rRNA from 1 species